UUUGAUCUGGCUCAGAUUGAACGCUGGCGGGAUGCUUUACAUGCAAGUCGAACGGCAGCCUGGACUUCGGUCUGGUGGCGAGUGGCGAACGGGUGAGUAAUGUAUCCGGAACGUACCUAGUAGCGAAGGGAUAACUACGCGAAAGCGUAGCUAAUACCCGCAUACGCCCUUCGGGGGAAAGCGGGGGACCUUCGGGCCUCGCACUAUUAGAAGCGGCCGAUAUCGGAUUAGCUAGUUGGUGGGGUAACGGCUCACCAAGGCGACGAUCCGUAGCUGGCUGAGAGGACGACCAGCCACACUGGGACGAGACUGCGGCCCAGACUCCUACGGGAGGCAGCAGUGGGGAAUUUUGGACAAUGGGGAAACCCUGAUCCAGCCAUCCCGCGUGUGCGAUGAAGGCCUUCGGGUUGUAAAGCACUUUUGGCAGGAAAGAAACGGCACGGGAUAAUACCCCGUGCAACUGACAGUACCUGCAGAAUAAGCACCGGCUAACUACGUGCCAGCAGCCGCGGUAAUACGUAGGGUGCAAGCGUUAAUCGGAAUUACUGGGCGUAAAAAGCGUGCGCAGGCGGUUCGGAAGAAAGAUGUGAAAUCCCAGAGCUUAACUUUGGAACUGCAUUUUUAACUACCGAGCUAGAGUGUGUCCAGAGGAGGUGGAAUUCCGCGUGUAGCAGUGAAAUGCGUAGAUAUGCGGAGGAACACCGAUGGCGAAGGCAGCCUCCUGGGAUAACACUGACGCUCAUGCACGAAAGCGUGGGGAGCAAACGGGAUUAGAUACCCUGGUAGUCCACGCCCUAAACGAUGUCAACUAGCUGUUGGGGCCUUCGGGCCUUGGUAGCGCAGCUAACGCGUGAAGUUGACCGCCUGGGGAAGUACGGUCGCAAGAUUAAAACUCAAAGGAAUUGACGGGGACCCGCACAAGCGGUGGAUGAUGUGGAUUAAUUCGAUGCAACGCGAAAAACCUUACCUACCCUUGACAUGUCUGGAAUCCCGAAGAGAUUUGGGGAGUGCUCGCAAAGAGGCUCCGGAACACAGGUGCUGCAUGGCUGUCGUCAGCUCGUGUCGUGAGAUGUUGGGUUAAGUCCCGCAACGAGCCGCAACCCUUGUCAUUAGUUGCUACGAAAGGGCACUCUAAUGAGACUGCCGGUGACAAACCGGAGGAAGGUGGGGAUGACGUCAAGUCCUCAUGGCCCUUAUGGGUAGGGAUUCACGUCAUACAAUGGUCGGGACAGAGGGUCGCCAACCCGCGAGGGGAGCCAAUCCCAGAAACCCGAUCGUAGUCAGGAUCGCGAUCGCAACUCGACUGCGUGAAGUCGGAAUCGCUAGUAAUCGCGGAUCAGCAUGUCACGGUGAAUACGUUCCCAGGUCUUGUACACGCCCGUCCACACACCAUGGGAGUGGGUUUUACCAGAAGUAGUUAGCCUAACCGUAAGGAGGGCGAUUACCACGGUAGGAUUCAUGACUGGGGUAGAAGUCGUAACAAGGUAG
rnacentral:rRNA from 1 species